rnacentral:tRNA from 1 species
CGUCCUGUGGCCUGACAGGGAAGCAACGGUGUUACAUACCGUGAUAUGCGAGUUCGAAUCUCGCCAGGACGAC